rnacentral:rRNA from 1 species
AUACGGAGGAUCCGAGCGUUAUCCGGAUUUAUUGGGUUUAAAGGGAGCGUAGGCGGGAGAUCAAGUCAGCUGUGAAAUGUAGAUGCUCAACAUCUGCACUGCAGUUGAAACUGGUUUUCUUGAGUGCGUAAGGGGCAGGCGGAAUUCGUCGUGUAGCGGUGGAAUGCUUAGAUAUGACGAAGAACUCCGAUCGCGAAGGCCGCCGGCCGGGCCGCGACUGACGCUGAAGCUCGAAGGUGCGGGUAUCGAACAGGAUUAGAUACCCUGGUAGUCCGCACAGUAAACGAUGGAUACUCGCUGUCGGCGAUAUACGGUCGGUGGCCAAGCGAAAGCGUUAAGUAUCCCACCUGGGGAGUACGCCGGCAACGGUGAAACUCAAAGGAAUUGACGGGG